GUGAGUUUAGGAGAGAAACUCUGUAAUUGUGGGAAAACACUGCACUCCCUUGUCCCCGGAGAGCAGAGCGAACAGAUAAAAGCAGACAGUUUAGAGGGCUUGUCCAGGCCACUUAACAUUUCCUGUAACACAGAGUGCUAACCUGGCGAUAAUGCUGACAGUACAGAGAGCAGAGCUUCAGCUGUCAUCCCCUCGAAGGAGCUAAUUCGCUUUACCACCAGAAGGGAGUUUGUUUAAGUGUUUUUAUCCUUGCUGCUUAAAAUUAGAAAUGAGUCAAGGAAGAGAAAGUGGGAGAAAGAAUUAAGGGAAGGUUGAAAUAACAGUGUGCAUAUUACACUUUGUUCAACCUCCCACAAAGGAGCCAUCUGUUAUUUUGUAACUUGUAUCUGUUUUGCCUGGCGGGGUUGCAAGGAAGUGGAAUUACCUACAAUACAGACGUGAAGAAAUCUCUGCACCAAACGGAGCUCUGAGAGUCCAGCUCCGUGGGCGGGGCCUCCCUCCUUCACUUGCUUGACGAAAAUGGUGUCCAUUGGCUCCAGACGGUUUCGCUGUCUCCCUGGCAACGAGAGAGAGAGAUUGAGAGAGAGAGAGAGAGAGAGAGAGAGAGAGGUCACACAGCGAGGAAGAGCAGCAGCUGAAUCAGAACUAGGCCACAUUGCACUGGAAGUGGAAAUUCAACUGCAGCAACAUUGUGGCAUCAGAGCACGUGUUUUUCCAUUUGUGUUAUUUGUAUUGCAAUUUACUAUCUGGUCUUUCUCACUCAAAUAAUACAAAGUGAAAAUACUUCCUGGUUGUAAAAAGAGCUGCUGAAAAGCCAAAAAGUCUGUUUAUCUAAAGAAAGCAGCUUAGUUGUCAGUUAACAUAUAACUAUUAAUUGUUUAAUUUGUUAUUAAAGCAAAAAUGAAAAACA